AUUGAACGCUGGCGGCAGGCCUAACACAUGCAAGUCGAACGGUAACAGGAAGCUGCUUGCUGCUUUGCUGACGAGUGGCGGACGGGUGAGUAAUGUCUGGGAAACUGCCCGAUGGAGGGGGCUAACUACUGGAAACGGUAGCUAAUACCGCAUAACGUCGCAAGACCAAGGAGGGGGACCUUAGGGCCUCUUGCCAUCGGAUGUGCCCAGAUGGGAUUAGCUAGUAGGUGGGGUAACGGCACACCUAGGCGACGAUCCCUAGCUGGUCUGAGAGGAUGACCAGCCACACUGGAACUGAGACACGGUCCAGACUCCUACGGGAGGCAGCAGUGGGGAAUAUUGCACAAUGGGCGCAAGCCUGAUGCAGCCAUGCCGCGUGUAUGAAGAAGGCCUUCGGGUUGUAAAGUACUUUCAGCGGGGAGGAAGGGAGUAAAGUUAAUACCUUUGCUCAUUGACGUUACCCGCAGAAGAAGCACCGGCUAACUCCGUG
rnacentral:rRNA from 1 species